rnacentral:rRNA from 1 species
GGGUUGUGAGGUUAAGCGACUAAGCGUACACGGUGGAUGCCCUGGCAGUCAGAGGCGAUGAAGGGCGUGCUAAUCUGCGAUAAGCGCCGGUAAGGUGAUAUGAACCGUUAUAACCGGCGAUACCCGAAUGGGGAAACCCAGUGUGAUUCGUCACACUAUCAUUAACUGAAUCCAUAGGUUAAUGAGGCGAACCGGGGGAACUGAAACAUCUAAGUACCCCGAGGAAAAGAAAUCAACCGAGAUUCCCCCAGUAGCGGCGAGCGAACGGGGAGGAGCCCAGAGCCUGAAUCAGCAUGUGUGUUAGUGGAAGCGUCUGGAAAGGCGCGCGAUACAGGGUGACAGCCCCGUACACAAAAGCGUAUGUGCUGUGAGCUCGAUGAGUAGGGCGGGACACGUGGUAUCCUGUCUGAAUAUGGGGGGACCAUCCUCCAAGGCUAAAUACUCCUGACUGACCGAUAGUGAACCAGUACCGUGAGGGAAAGGCGAAAAGAACCCCGGCGAGG